rnacentral:lncRNA from 1 species
CCGACCAUAAAGGAGAAGAGGAGAGAGAGAGAGAGAGAGAUCACCCAUUAAAAAGAGGAAGGAGAGAAGAGAAGAAAAAAGAGAAAGAAGAGGAAGAAGAAACCAUGGGUUUUUUCCCUCACUCUCACCCAAAAAUCCUAGAGAAAACUUGAGAGCUUGAGAGGGAAUGGAAGGGGGAGGCCAUGGUUAGGGAGGAGUAGAGAGAAGAGGGAUUUCAAGCUCAUCCAAGAAGGAGUAGCCAUCAUCCAACCAUUCCUAGCAAAGGUUGAAAAGUUUUCUAAACCAUAAUCUCACUUUUCUUGGUUUAGAUUAUGUUUUGUUUGUUUAUGGUAAGAGUUUGAUGAAAUAGAUCAUGGAUCAUGGUAGAUCCAUGAGUAUAAUAUGUAUUAAGUUGGUUUAUGUUGGUUAAUGUUUGAUUAAUCAAGAGAUCAUGGAAGUUUUCUUACAAAACAUAAAGGUUAGAAAAUCAGAUUUUUGAGAAAACGAAACAUGAAAUUCAAAUGAUUACAUCUCUCAUUCUGAUUCGAAUUUUUGAGUGUGGUUAAGUCCUAGAGUUAGAUCUAUGAGUCUUCUAACAUCUCCAACUAGAAUCACUAAAAAAGGUGCUGUAAAUUUUCAUAUGGACUGUUUUUGGCAAAUUAGGAAAAAUCUGGAAAUACCGAAAACAAGUUGUCCAAAAAUUUGUAGGGGCAUUUAUGGCAAUUUAAUUAUUGAAAUAAAAUCAGACCGUUUGUGAAAUGAUAAUAUAUGAUAUAAAUUAGCGCAUGUCCAAAAAUGAACUUAUUCUGACUUAAAUCGAUCGUGUUAUGGCAAUUUCAAUUUUUGGGUUUUUCUGACGAAAACGGCUAUAACUGGAGUUAUAUAACUCCGAUGAUCGACCACAAAAUUUAAACUGAAAGUUCAUGCUAAUACGUGUAAGAUUGUGUCAAGAGUUGGGAAUUUUUGGAGUUAAGCAUGAUGUAACUAAUUUUCUUAAGUUACGAACUAAAAACGGACUCAUGAAAAAUACUAAACGAAAUGGAUAAAUUCCAAAAAAAAAAUAUUUUCAUUAGAAUACCAAAUACUGAUGUUUCCCAGAAAAGAAAAAAUUCCGGGCGUGUUUUGGUAUUUUUCAUGUAAAUGUUUGAGUUAUGGAUAAAUUGAUAAAUUAAGUUAAAUGAUGUGAGAAAUUAUGAAAAUAUGAUUUUAUGACUUAAAGGCCCAUAAUAUGAUAUAAUCAGAUUUUUGGAGGGUAUGUAAUGACCGUGAAUUUUAAACUCCUUGUUAAUUAAAUAUGUGAGUUAAUUUUAAUGAGUUAGUUUUGUGAGUUUAUUAAACCUUAUGUGGUUAUGUGAAUUAAUGAAAUGAUUAAAGGGAGUCACUAAUAGUUACUUAAAUUGGUGGACUAACCCUAAGAGUUUGAUAUCAAAGAAUUGUUAGGAUUCUUAAUGAUUAAAUAUUCAAUCUAUUUGAAUAUAGUGACAGGAUUUGAACAUAUUGAUUCAUUUCAAUUAUGGGUAUAUCACCAUUAUAGAAGUUAAAUUAUCUCAUAUAAAACUUAUGUGGUGAUAGAAAUUUGAACUGGCUUGAAGCUAACCCAUUUUGGCACUGCCAGGGACCGGCGCAGCUGCGCCCUCCCAGCAGUACAAAAUGGCGUAGCUGCGCCAGUGUCCAGUCUGAGACAGUUAGUUCCUAUUGUAGAAAAUGAAAUGGAAUAUUAGUGUAAUGUGUGUCAUGCAUAAAAUCAUAUAAUAAGAAUACCUUCUAAUGAUAUGAAGUAUCAAGUAGUGCAAUAAAAUCACAAGUGAUUUUAAUACAGAAAUAAUUAAAUAUCUGAGUAUUCCAGAAAUUGGAAAAGAAAUUACGUGUGUACACUGGAUAUAUAAUAUUAAAUAAUGUGAUGAUGCGGUUAUGUGGGUAGUAAAAUAUAAUUAUGGAGAUACACGGAUAAUAAUACCUAACCGUGUUAUUUUAAUUGCGUGUAUUUAAUGUAUAUGGAUUUUAUGAUGUGAGUAUCUAAUUAAUCCCUAAAUUCCCAAUACAGUAACACUUGGACAUUAAAACCCAUUUUUGGUUAGUAAAGUAACUGAACUUGGAAUUUGCUAAGCUUGUUGCUGAUAUUUGCUCUUGUCCCAUAAUAAGAGCCCAAUUCAUUUUUCCACAUGAAUAGCUAGCUAGCCUAUCUUCAUCUCAAAUUCAACCAACCUAGAGCAAUUAGUGGAUGGGGAGUGGGAUUCAUGAGUGAAAUCACCAACUCUCACCAACUUCCUCUUAUCCAUUAUACAUCUUUGAUUUCCUUUGGUUUGUUUUGGGAAGUAAUUGCAUUGUCUGUGUAAACCAUUCUCCUAUAAAUGAGACCCUCACCUUCCUUAUUGCAAUUGCUGAGAAUUAGUUUGCUAAGGAGCUUAUAAAGAGUGAGUAAAUUGUUAUAUUGCAGCUGAAUUGAUUUACAGAGGUAUAACUUCCAUUCCUAUUCUUCAUUUUUGAUAAAUUGCUUAGUGAAAUGAUUCUUUGAAUUAAGCAUGUAUUAGUUGAUAUUUGGUUUGGGUUAUGUUGCUUAGUGCUAUACAAGUUUCUAAAUGUGUUGGGUUAAGCUAGAAAUAAUUUUCAUAAGGAAUUUGUGUGAUGGGUUGCUAAACUGCCGAAGUAGAGCAGUGUCUGUCUCUGGCCGACAGCCUACGCAGCUGCGCCAGUUUUGCACUGGCCAGCGGCGCAGCUGCGCUAGUCCUGCACCAGGUCUUAUGUGUUCUGUUAUGUUUCUGUUCGUGUUAACUUGUUGGCACCUGGUUAGAGCAAGCAUGUAAACUGUUGAAGCACACACACAUAAGCAUAUGCAUGUAGUAUAAACAAGUAUAACCAUGUUAGUACCUACAAUGGACACAAUACUUGUGGUCUUGAAAUGAAAUUGUAGUUCAAAAGUGAACUUUGUCACGAACACAUCAUGUGAACAUUCUGACUUUAUGAACAUGAUAAUAUGGUUUAUAUUGACAUAAAAUGCAAGAUUUAAGUGAUUAAACACACUAGCAUACGUGAUUGGAAGUUAAGACUAUUCCAAAGAUAAGAAACUUAAGACUUUUUAAACUGAACUUGACCAAGACAUUUAUCUAGUAAGUUCUGACCAUUUGAGCAUGUAUAUGUGACUCUAGUAUAUGUUGUAAAUGCAUAAGAUUUAUAUGUCAAGAUUUCUUAUAUAUACUAAGUUGGCUUAGUGUAAAAAAAUUCAAAGAAUGUUAGAAUGAAGAAGCUAAGGUCAUCAAGUAAUGAGCAAAGUACGUUAUGACCAUGCAAGCAUAUAUAUUAGGACUCAUUAUGCCUAUAACUAUAUUGGCAUGAGCAUCGUUUGGUUAAGGUAUGGUUUUCACUUAUGCACACAUAGUCAUAAAAAGGAAAUUUCUAAAAUAUGAACUAUGUGAGUAAAGUAUACAUAUGUUGUCUAUAUACAAGCAUGACUACUGAGUAUUAUAUAAUCAAGUUACAAAGCAUGAUGAUUACAUGACCUUUGUAUGUUUUAAUGACAUAUAAAUUGUAAGUUAAACUCGUGGUAAUGGAUUCAAGUAUGGUCAUGUGGUAUAUGUGAAACUCUAGCAUGUACGUAUGUUAAAAUAUAUGUGUAAUUGGUGUGUUAGAGUUGGACUGAAGUCAGGAAGUGCAAAUCUCAAACCUGGUCUGACCAGGGGACAGCGUAGCUGCGCCGUCCCUAAGCCUAGACCAGGCGUAGCUGCGCCGUCCUGCAGUCUUACCAAGAUUCUAUUUUUGGUUUAAACUUUCAAUGCAUGCUUAUAUGAUUACUUUACCUUGUAAUAUGUGACCAAUAUGCUAUAUAAUGUGUUGAGAAGCAUGCUAUGUGAUGACUUGAUUCUUGUAAGUGUAGACUUACAUUAGUUCACAUACUAAUUGAAAGACCGACUUGUUAAUGUUAGGUCGUUUCAAUGCAAGUUAGUUAAAACUAGUAUUAUAUUGUAGCUGAGAAAACAGACAAGUUUCUUAAUUCUUACUCUCUUCCUUGAGCAAGUAUCCGAACCCUACUUUUAUUGAGCAAGUUCCCUAAUCUCACUCAAACUAUUAUUGAGCAAGUUUCCUUGAAUUUCACUCUUUGGUUGUGCAAGUUCCUUGAACCAUACUUUUAUUGUGAAAGUUUCCUAUCCUUCUUAUAUGGUAUUGAGCAGGCUAUUGUUGAAUUGAAAGUUAUUCAAUUAAGCUUGAACUUUAUUUUCAAGCAUGCUGUUAAGUGGUUUAAUUACUUUACAAUUAUUCCACAUCGAUAUUAUUGAUAUUCGCACUUAGUGCACUUGAGUUCGUACAGUCUUGGACUUGUACAUCAUUUAAAGUUCAAUAAUUCUUGAAUUGUGUUAGAUAGAGCCUGAAGCUUUGUUCGGUCAGAUAAGAGUAUGAAGUUUUAUAAAAGCUAUCCAAACCAAUUGAUGGUAAGGAUUCUUAGACUGAGAGAACACCCCUUUUAAUAGGGGAGUACCCCAGGUAUCUAAUAUAAGAUACAAAGAGCAGAUUUAAAUGUUAUGCAUAUACAUAGUGUACGUGAGGCUGAUCCCCUUAAGUACUUAUUUUGUAGCCAGUAACCAAAGGGUCAAUUAGCUAUUGAUUCCAUUGGAGUGUUAUAGUUCAAAGUCUACUUGACUAGCAGUUAUUCUAAAAGCAAUCAUUAUCUUUGCUUCCAAUAUUCAUAUUGUUGAAUUCAUUGACAGAUAUUUUCCAUUCAUCAUGAUAUAUCCUUAUUGUUGUAAUUAAACUUGUUCGGCAAACUUGUUGCUCAUCCUUUCUAUAUCAUGAAUUAUAUUGCAGCUAAGCCCGAGACCUCAGGGAAGGACAAGGGUAAAGGAAAGAUGUAGAAUAGUGGCAAGGAGCAGACUUUACCUUACGCUUAGUUUAAAUUACUGUUAUGUAAUAUUUACCCUAAUGUUUAUAUUAGGGUAUGUUUGUAAGAUGAUAUUAAGGUUAUCGUAUCUUGGGACUAGUAACACCUUUUGAAUGAACGACGUACGUUUAUAUUUUUCUGUAUUUUAGUCAUCGUAUGUUGUUUAGAGGUGGAUGUUUGUA